rnacentral:rRNA from 1 species
CCUACGGGAGUGCUGCAGUGAGGAAUAUUGGUCAAUGGCCGGAAGGCUGAACCAGCAAAGCCGCGUGAAGGACGAAGGUGCCAAGAAUUGUAAACUUCUUUUGUCAAGGGACAAAAUCAGGCUCGAGAGCCUGACCGAGGGUACUUGAAGAAAAAGCAUCGGCUAACUCCGUGCCAGCAGCCGCGGUAAUACGGGGGAUGCGAGUGUUAUCCGGAUUGAUUGGGUUUAAAGGGUGCGUAGGCGGGCUGUUAAGUCAGCGGUAAAAGCCCGGGGCCCAACCCCGGCGAGCCGUUGAAACUGGCUGUCUGGAGAUGUCGAGAGGUAUGCGGAAUGCGCAGUGUAGCGGUGAAAUGCUUAGAUAUUGCGCAGAACUCCGAUUGCGAAGGCAGCAUACCGGCGGCGAUCUGACGCUGAGGCACGAAAGCGUGGGUAUCGAACAGGAUUAGAUACCCUGGUAGUC